GAUGAGUGGCGAACGGGUGAGUAACACGUGAGUAACCUGCCCCCUUCUUUGGGAUAACGGUCGGAAACGGCUGCUAAUACCGGGUAUUCACUGUCCUUCGCAUGGGGGGUGGUGGAAAGGUUUUUUCUGGUGGGGGAUGGGCUCGCGGCCUAUCAGCUUGUUGGUGGGGUGAUGGCUUACCAAGGCUUUGACGGGUAACCGGCCUGAGAGGGUGACCGGUCACAUUGGGACUGAGAUACGGCCCAGACUCC
rnacentral:rRNA from 1 species